rnacentral:rRNA from 1 species
UACGGGGGGAGCAAGCGUUGUUCGGAUUUACUGGGCGUAAAGGGCGCGUAGGCGGCACUGCAAGUCAGUUGUGAAAUCUCCGGGCUUAACCCGGAAAGGUCAACUGAUACUGCAGGGCUAGAGUGCAGAAGGGGCAACUGGAAUUCUCGGUGUAGCGGUGAAAUGCGCAGAUAUCGGGAAGAACACCCGUGGCGAAGGCGGUUCUCUGGGACGGUACUGACGCUGAGACGCGAAAGCGUGGGGAGCGAACAGG